GUCUGGAAGGCCGUCGUGAAAGGAGACUGCUUCUGCCAGCUCUCAAGGAAGUCUUCAAAACUAAAGAGAGCACACAGUUUCUUAAAAAUGAAGAUAUGCCUGAGAUGAAACUGAAUUUUACUAGGGCGAGAGAUGUGCUUGUGUACAUGAAGAAAACAAAAACAAAAGCCAACCAACCAAUCGGAAAACACACACACACACACACACACACACACACACACACAAAGAAACUCAUGGUGGCAGACCAACCCAACCAAGACCAGAAUGGACCAGACCAAACCAAACCAAACGAGACAAGAGUGAUCUGGGGCAAGAUAACCUAGGCUCAUGGAAACAGCCACAUGGUUCAUGCUGAACUCAGAAGCAACUGUCCUAUAAAGGCUGUUGUAUACAAAAUCCAAGUGAUGCUGUACCC
rnacentral:lncRNA from 1 species